rnacentral:rRNA from 2 species
UAGGGAAUCUUCGGCAAUGGACGAAAGUCUGACCGAGCAACGCCGCGUGAGUGAAGAAGGUUUUCGGAUCGUAAAACUCUGUUGUUAGAGAAGAACAAGGACGUUAGUAACUGAACGUCCCCUGACGGUAUCUAACCAGAAAACCACGGCUAACUACGUGCCAGCAGCCGCGGUAAUACGUAGGUGGCAAGCGUUGUCCGGAUUUAUUGGGCGUAAAGCGAGCGCAGGCGGUUUCUUAAGUCUGAUGUGAAAGCCCCCGGCUCAACCGGGGAGGGUCAUUGGAAACUGGGAGACUUGAGUGCAGAAGAGGAGAGUGGAAUUCCAUGUGUAGCGGUGAAAUGCGUAGAUAUAUGGAGGAACACCAGUGGCGAAGGCGGCUCUCUGGUCUGUAACUGACGCUGAGGCUCGAAAGCGUGGGGAGCAAACAGG